rnacentral:rRNA from 1 species
UACGUAAGGGGCAAGCGUUGUCCGGAAUCAUUGGGCGUAAAGCGCGUGUAGGCGGUUCGGUAAGUCUGCUGUGAAAGUCCAGGGCUCAACCCUGGGAUGCCGGUGGAUACUGUCGGACUAGAGUACGGAAGAGGCGAGUGGAAUUCCCGGUGUAGCGGUGAAAUGCGCAGAUAUCGGGAAGGAACACCGGUGGCGAAGGCGGUUCUCUGGGCAUGUCCUGACGCUAGGAGGCGAAAGUGUGGG